GACGAACGCUGGCGGCGUGCUUAACACAUGCAAGUCGAACGGAAAGGCCCUGCUUUUGUGGGGUGCUCGAGUGGCGAACGGGUGAGUAACACGUGAGUAACCUGCCCUUGACUUUGGGAUAACUUCAGGAAACUGGGGCUAAUACCGGAUAGGAGCUCCUGCUGCAUGGUGGGGGUUGGAAAGUUUCGGCGGUUGGGGAUGGACUCGCGGCUUAUCAGCUUGUUGGUGGGGUAGUGGCUUACCAAGGCUUUGACGGGUAGCCGGCCUGAGAGGGUGACCGGCCACAUUGGGACUGAGAUACGGCCCAGACUCCUACGGGAGGCAGCAGUGGGGAAUAUUGCACAAUGGGCGGAAGCCUGAUGCAGCAACGCCGCGUGCGGGAUGACGGCCUUCGGGUUGUAAACCGCUUUCGCCUGUGACGAAGCGUGAGUGACGGUAAUGGGUAAAGAAGCACCGGCUAACUACGUGCCAGCAGCCGCGGUGAUACGUAGGGUGCGAGCGUUGUCCGGAUUUAUUGGGCGUAAAGGGCUUGUAGGUGGUUGAUCGCGUCGGAAGUGUAAUCUUGGGGCUUAACCCUGAGCGUGCUUUCGAUACGGGUUGACUUGAGGAAGGUAGGGGAGAAUGGAAUUCCUGGUGGAGCGGUGGAAUGCGCAGAUAUCAGGAGGAACACCAGUGGCGAAGGCGGUUCUCUGGGCCUUUCCUGACGCUGAGGAGCGAAAGCGUGGGGAGCGAACAGGCUUAGAUACCCUGGUAGUCCACGCUGUAAACGGUGGGUACUAGGUGUGGGGUCCAUUCCACGGGUUCCGUGCCGUAGCUAACGCUUUAAGUACCCCGCCUGGGGAGUACGGCCGCAAGGCUAAAACUCAAAGGAAUUGACGGGGCCCCGCACAAGCGGCGGAGCAUGCGGAUUAAUUCGAUGCAACGCGUAGAACCUUACCUGGGUUUGACAUGGAUCGGGAGUGCUCAGAGAUGGGUGUGCCUCUUUUGGGGUCGGUUCACAGGUGGUGCAUGGCUGUCGUCAGCUCGUGUCGUGAGAUGUUGGGUUAAGUCCCGCAACGAGCGCAACCCUUGUUCACUGUUGCCAGCACGUUAUGGUGGGGACUCAGUGGAGACCGCCGGGGUCAACUCGGAGGAAGGUGGGGAUGACGUCAAGUCAUCAUGCCCCUUAUGUCCAGGGCUUCACGCAUGCUACAAUGGCUGGUACAGAGAGUGGCGAGCCUGUGAGGGUGAGCGAAUCUCGGAAAGCCGGUCUCAGUUCGGAUUGGGGUCUGCAACUCGACCUCAUGAAGUCGGAGUCGCUAGUAAUCGCAGAUCAGCAACGCUGCGGUGAAUACGUUCCCGGGGCU
rnacentral:rRNA from 1 species